CCCAAAUCAAAAGCAGGCAUGGUGGAGAUGCACUCUUGUGUGUUACACAUGGAGAGGUAGGUAAUGAGAGCUAGGAGUAGUUAUUAAGUCUUUUGGGGAAAAUAGGGAUAAGAAAAGGACAGUCUGCCACACACUCCUAGUACUACCAUUGCACACAGGUUAAGUUGGAUAUAUCCUAGCUAGGGAUAUAUUAACUAGGGAGAGGGGCAUGGGUCCCCAUCUAGUACUGUAUAUAUAUUUGGAACAAUCAGUGUCAGGGGAAUCUUCUAGUGAUCUCCACUUUGUUAUGUUAGGGUAGUGUAAGGGUUAAGUGUCAGUGUAACGGCAGUGUAGAGAUUAAUGGUUAGAGUUAGGGUAGUAUACAGCAGGAGUUAAUG